rnacentral:ncRNA from 19 species
CCUAAAUCCGCUCCAGACGGUCCCUUGCCCGCAACGGCAGGGGCUAAGAGGGAAUGCGGUGCGGGAUUUCGAUCUCAAAUCCGCGGCUGUCCCCGCAACUGUAAGCGAAGAGCCAAGGCCGAAAGCCACUGGGACGUUCCCGGGAAGGCGGCACCCAAGGCGAUGACCCGCGAGCCAGGAGACCUGCCGUCUGCGACAAAAGAAUC